UACGUAGGGUGCGAGCGUUAAUCGGAAUUACUGGGCGUAAAGCGUGCGCAGGCGGUUUCUGAAGUCCGUUGUGAAAGCCCCGGGCUUAACCUGGGAAUGGCAGUGGAAACUAGGAGACUUGAAUCUGGCAGAGGGGGGUGGAAUGCCACGUGUAGCAGUGAAAUGCGUAGAGAUCGGAAAGAACACCAACGGCGAAAGCACUCUGCUGGGCCGACACUGACACUGAGAGACGAAAGCUAGGGGAGCGAAUGGG
rnacentral:rRNA from 1 species